GAUGAAGAACGCAGCGAAAUGCGAUAAGUAAUGUGAAUUGCAGAAUUCAGUGAAUCAUCGAAUCUUUGAACGCACAUUGCGCCCCUUGGUAUUCCAUGGGGCAUGCCUGUUCGAGCGUCAUUUGUACCUUCAAGCUCUGCUUGGUGUUGGGUGUUUGUCUCGCCUUGCGCGUAGACUCGCCUUAAAACAAUUGGCAGCCGGCGUAUUGAUUUCGGAGCGCAGUACAUCUCGCGCUUUGCACUCAUAACGACGACGUCCAAAAGUACUUUUUACACUCUUGACCUCGGAUCAGGUAGGGAUACCCGCUGAACUUAAGCAUAUCAAUAAGCGGAGGA
rnacentral:misc_RNA from 1 species